rnacentral:rRNA from 1 species
GAUGAACGCUGGCGGCGUGCCUAAUACAUGCAAGUAGAGCGAAGAGGGGGGGAGUUUGCUCCUCUGACGUGAGCGGCGGGGGGGAGUGACACAUGGGGAAAACCCACGUAUGAGACUGGGAUAACUUGGGGAAACCGGCUAUAAUAGCAGAAAAUAUAUUGAACCGUGUGGUUUGAUAGAGAAAUACGGUUUUGCUGUUACUAGUAGAUGGAUCCGCGCCGUAUUAGGUAGUUGGUAGGGUAACGGCCUACCAAGGCAACGAUUCGUCGCCGACCUGAGAGGGUGAUCGGCCACCCUGGGACUGGGACACGGCCCAGACUCCUACGGGGGGCAGCAGUAGGGAAUCUUCGGCAAUGGGCGGAAGUCUGACCGAGCAACGCCGCGGGAGUGAAGAAGGGUGUCGGAUCGUAAAGCCCUGUUGUAAGAGAAGAACGAGUGUGAGAGUGAAAAGUUCACGCUUUGACGGUAUCUUACCAGAAAGGGACGGCUAACUACGUG